rnacentral:rRNA from 1 species
GAUGAACGCUGGCGGCGUGCUUAACACAUGCAAGUCGAACGGGAAACCUUUUAAUGAAGCUUCGGCAGAUUUAGCUGGUUUCUAGUGGCGGACGGGUGAGUAACGCGUGGGUAACCUGCCUUAUACAGGGGGAUAACAGUCAGAAAUGACUGCUAAUACCGCAUAAGCGCACAGGACCGCAUGGUCCGGUGUGAAAAACUCCGGUGGUAUAAGAUGGACCCGCGUUGGAUUAGCUUGUUGGUGGGGUAACGGCUCACCAAGGCGACGAUCCAUAGCCGGCCUGAGAGGGUGAACGGCCACAUUGGGACUGAGACACGGCCCAGACUCCUACGGGAGGCAGCAGUGGGGAAUAUUGCACAAUGGGGGAAACCCUGAUGCAGCGACGCCGCGUGAAGGAAGAAGUAUCUCGGUAUGUAAACUUCUAUCAGCAGGGAAGA